AUGGGACUGGAGGAUGAGCAAAAGAUGCUGAGCAGGUCCUGAGAUCCUAAGGAGGAGGAAGAGGAAGAGGAGGAAUGAGUGAAUCCCCUAACAACCGUGAGAUAGCAAUGUGAGCAGUUGGAGAAAUGUGUAAAGGCCUGGAAGCAGCUAGAGCUCUGUGACAAGCGUGUUAUCCUCUCGAUCACAUACAGAAGAGGAUUGCAAGAGGAGCUCUUUGACUUCUUGCAUGCAAGGGACCAUUGCUUUGCCCA
rnacentral:lncRNA from 1 species